GGCCUCGUAGCUCAGCUGGUAGAGCGUGCGCUGUACAAAAGCGUAGGCGGCGUCCAUGCGCGGGUUCGAAUCCCACCGAAGUUA
rfam:Echinostoma caproni strain Egypt genome assembly, scaffold: ECPE_scaffold0000336